GUGAGUCAGAGGUCAGAGCUCCAGGUGAGUCAGAGGUCAGAGGUCCAGGUGAGUCAGAGGUCAGAGGUCAGAGGUCCAGGUGAGUCAGGGAGUCCUCAUUUUUAUCCUAAAAAGUAAAUUCCAUUUUUAUUUAAAGUAAAUUUAUCUUUUUUUCUGAUUCUU